rnacentral:misc_RNA from 1 species
AAAUAAAAUAAAAAAGAAAAGUGCCACACAUAGGAAGGGCAAGUAAAAGGUGUUGUAAGUGAACGAACAUAAAUAAUGAUAAGAGAGAAGAGGUAUGGUCUGUGAGAAAACAAUUGUAGUAAAUGAGUUGUGAUAAUAAUUUCUUAUAAUAUUAUUUUAUUUUUUAAUAGUGUUGCACUGCCACAUAAGUGUCUUGCCAGAUACUUGUCAAACUUUGGAAUGAGAGAUUUGGUAGCAGAUGGGAUCCGUUUUAUUAAAGUUAUGUGUGGAUACGGUCAGAUUUGUAUUAUAGAGUUUGAGGGGGAUUCUAAUUUGAUAAUUAG